UAAGUUUUAGUUUAAGUUAGAAUUGUUGACUGUUAAUCAACAGGUGCAAUUUUUGCAAGCUUAG
rnacentral:tRNA from 2 species